AGAGUUUGAUUCUGGCUCAGGACGAACGCUGGCGGCGUGCUUAACACAUGCAAGUCGAGCGAUGAAGCUCUUCGGAAGUGGAUUAGCGGCGGACGGGUGAGUAACACGUGGGUAACCUACCUCAUAGAGGGGAAUAGCCUUCCGAAAGGAAGAUUAAUACCGCAUAAGAUUGUAAUAUCGCAUGAUAUAGCAAUUAAAGGAGCAAUCCGCUAUGAGAUGGACCCGCGUCGCAUUAGCUAGCUGGUGAGGUAACGGCCCACCAAGGCGACGAUGCGUAGCCGACCUGAGAGGGUGAUCGGCCACAUUGGGACUGAGACACGGCCCAGACUCCUACGGGAGGCAGCAGUGGGGAAUAUUGCACAAUGGGGGAAACCCUGAUGCAGCCAACGCCGCGUGAGUGAUGACGGUCUUCGGAUUGUAAAGCUCUGUCUUCAGGGACGAUAAUGACGGUACCUGAGGAGGAAGCCACGGCUAACUACGUGCCAGCCGCAGC
rnacentral:rRNA from 1 species